AGUGAACGCUGGCGGUAUGCCUAACACAUGCAAGUCGAACGGCAGCACAGUAAGAGCUUGCUCUUACGGGUGUCGCGUGGCGGACGGUUGAGUAAUACAUCGGAAUCUACUUUUUCGUGGGGGAUAACGUAGGGAAACUUACGCUAAUACCGCAUACGACCUACUUGUGUAAGCAGGCGAUCUUCUGACCUUUCGCGAUUGAAUGAGCCGAUGUCGGAUUAGCUAGUUGGCGGGGUCAAGGCACAACACGGCGACGAUCCGUAGCUGGUCUGGGAGGAUGAUCAGCCAGACUGGAAGUGAGACACAUCACAGACUCCUAGGCGAGGACGCAGUCGGGAAUAUUGCAGAAUGGGGGAAUGGCUGAUAUAGGACAAUCGGGUGGGUGAAGAACGAGCUAGGCUUGGUAAGCCCUUUUGUUGGGAAAGAAAUGAAGCAGGUUAAUACGGCGCUGUAAUGACGGUACCCAAAGAAUAAGCACCGGCUAACUCCGUG
rnacentral:rRNA from 1 species